rfam:Anoxybacillus flavithermus strain 25 c115, whole genome shotgun sequence.
GUAGGAGAGGUUCUAGAACACCCUCUAUAAAAAACUAGGGAUCG